GAUGAACGCCGGCGGUGUGCCUAAUACAUGCAAGUCGAACGCGUUGGCCCAAUUGAUUGACGGUGCUUGCACCUGAUUGAUUUUGGUUGCCAACGAGUGGCGGACGGGUGAGUAACACGUAGGUAACCUGCCCAGAAGCGGGGGACAACAUUUGGAAACAGAUGCUAAUACCGCAUAACAGCGUUGUUCGCAUGAACAACGCUUAAAAGAUGGCUUCUCGCUAUCACUUCUGGAUGGACCUGCGGUGCAUUAGCUUGUUGGUGGGGUAACGGCCUACCAAGGCGAUGAUGCAUAGCCGAGUUGAGAGACUGAUCGGCCACAAUGGGACUGAGACACGGCCCAUACUCCUACGGGAGGCAGCAGUAGGGAAUCUUCCACAAUGGGCGCAAGCCUGAUGGAGCAACACCGCGUGAGUGAAGAAGGGUUUCGGCUCGUAAAGCUCUGUUGUUAAAGAAGAACACGUAUGAGAGUAACUGUUCAUACGUUGACGGUAUUUAACCAGAAAGUCACGGCUAA
rnacentral:rRNA from 2 species